ACACUGGUGUUCGGGUUGUCAUGCCAAUGGCACUGCCCGGUAGCUAAAUGCGGAAGAGAUAAGUGCUGAAAGCAUCUAAGCACGAAACUUGCCCCGAGAUGAGUUCUCCCUGAGACUUUAGGUCUCCUGAAGGAACGUUGAAGACGACGACGUUGAUAGGCCGGGUGUGUAAGCGCAGCGAUGCGUUGAGCUAACCGGUACUAAUGAACCGUGAGGCUUAACCUU
rnacentral:rRNA from 1 species